GAAAGGUUUGGGAGGCGAAGCCUCGGGUUCUAAUGAAGGGAAGGAAAGCGCCGUGCUUGGUGCUGUUGUGAGCUUGGAAUAAUUGUCUCUUGUUAGGUUCUGUUCUAGUACGCGUGUAAAUUCAUCUUGGUAUUAAUAAUUACCGCUCUAACGGAGAUCCUAAAUAUGCUGGGUAAACGCAUACGUUCUCUGUCUAAACAUAGAUAAGUGUGAUGAUGACUGGGAGACGGAAUUCCCCAGUUCUAGAGCUGGAAGGGACUUUGGAGUUGGAUACUUCCACAGUCAAGCGUCUGCGUGCCUCCAGAGAAGAGUUAAGAGAAACCUCUACAUUUAAGGCACAUUCUUAAUUUUGUAGGCUCUAAAGGAUUAGAAGAUAAAUAAUUUCAAUAAGGUACAAAAGCCAAGUGCUUGGUAGAGUGGUGAAUGAAGGGAGAAGUUGUUCCUCCUAUUGGUUUGGGAAAUUUCUCAAAUGCAUGCAACUCCUGAAGAAGUAAGUUAGCCCUUAGGGGAAGAUCGAGUCCUUUUUCGAGACCACUACUCAUAAAGCCUGGAGGUGUUUUAAGAGUCAUUUUAGGAGGCAGCGAAGUGCCACAGAGCUAGAGAGAAUCGUCACUGCCUCUUUCGCUUGACCUAGGCCAGAGUCAAUAGUUUUAAGUGUCCUUGUGUAGAGAGUCUUGAUUGCAAAUUGUCUAAGUUCUUGGCAUUUUAAACAAAGAUUUGGACAAAGCACACAGCAAAGUAAGCAAAGAAUGAGGCAAUGAAAGAACAAAAGCAAGGAUUUCUUUGUUUGUUUGUUUGUUUACUUAUUUGAGACAGUUUCGCUCUUGUUGCGCAGGCUGGAGUGCAGUGGCGCGAUCUCGGUUUACUGCAACCUCCGCCUCCCGGGUUCAAGCGAUUCUCCUGGCUCAGCCUCCCAAGUAACCCGGAUUAUAGGCAGGCGCCACCACAUCUGGCUAAUUUUGUAUUUUUGGUAAAGAGGAAUUUUCAUCUGUUGGUCAUGCUGAUCUCAAAUUACUGACCUCAGGUAAUCCCACCUGCCUCAGCCUCCUGAAGCUCUGGGAUUACAGGCGCGAGCCACCGUCCCGGCCAAAAGCAGAGAUUUAUUGAGAAUGAAAGUACACUGCAGGCUGGGCGCGCCAGCACUUUGGGAGGCCGAGGUGGGCGGAUCGAGAGGUCAGGAAUUCGAGACCAGCCUGGCCAACAUGGUGAAACACCGUCUACUAAAAAUACAAAACUUAGCCAGGCUUGGUGGUGCAUAUCUAUAAUCCCAGCUACUCGGGAGGUUGAGGCAGGAGAAUUGCUUGAACCUGGGGGGCUGAGGUUGCAAUGAGCCAAGAUCACGCCACUGCACUCCAGCUCUGGGCAACAAAUCAAGACUCGGUCUGGGGAGGUGGGGGGUGGCGGGGUGGAAGGUUAGGGGAGGAAAGAAAGUACACUCCAGUGUGGGAGCAGGGCGAGCAGCGGCUCAAGAGCCCUAAUACCACGUAAAGGCUUCUCUGGCCACUUGGUGGUCACCUCAUGUAAAUGAAGUGGUGACCUGCAAUUGGUUAUGGAAUGCAACCCUCAGAGGCUAAAGUGAAGUUACAAAGUAACUCCAGACCCUAUUCUCCUGCCUCACUUGUAAAAAAAUCAUGUUCCAUAAGAAGCAUUUAUAAAGAAACCUUGUGAACCUCGAAAAUUUGAGGUGGGUCUCAGUUAAUUUACAAAGUUUAUUUUGCCAAGGUUGAGGUUGUGCACAGUGACACAAUCUCAAGAGGUUCUAGCAAUAUGUGCUAGAGCAAGGUGGUCAGAGCACAGUUUGUUUUUAUACAUUUUAGGGAGAUAUGAGACAUCAAUCAGUAUAUGUAAAAGGAACACUGGUUUGGUCCGGAAAAGGCAGGACAACUUGAAGCGGGAAGGGGCUUCCAGGUCACAGACUUGCAGACUCCUGAAAACCAGUUUACUUACUCUGGCAGUUGUCAACUAAAUAACCCUAAAUCUGCGUAUUAAAGGAAACAACUCAGGUUAAAAUCAGCAAAAUUUACAUCAUAAAGUAUGAAGAGAAAGUCUGGUAAGCUAGUGGGAAAUUAAAAUGGAUUUAAUUGCCAACUGAACAGAAAAUUAUAGAAGUCUAUUUUAAAGGCCUUUAAAUAUAUACUUUUUAGAUUCUUUUUAGGUCUAAAGCUCUGUUAGGUUAUGCCUGUAAUCCCAGCACUUUGGGAGGCCGAGGCGGGAAAGAUUCUAUAGUUUUUACUUCAGUACUUUAGCCAUGAGGUAAAUACCGAUUCACUGGCUUGCAAAAUAAAAAAACAAAUUUGUUAGACCCAAACAGUGGUUUUUUUUGUUUUGUUUUGUUUCGUUUUGUUUCCUCUCUGUUGGAAAGAAACAGCAGAUUUAAAGCAGGCAGAAAAUGGAAUAGAGAAAUGGGGACCUAGGAACUCCACAGUUGGCAGGUCGACCUUAGGGCUCUUCUUCCUUAAUGUAAACUGCAGAGACCAUGUUUUUCAAUUUUGCUUUGGCCGAUAGAGGUGCCGGAAAGGCUAGAGUGCUCAAAAGGGGGGCAUUCUCCUUAUUUUCUCCUCAUGCUUAGAUUGUUUCCUGCCUUUUUUUUUUUCUUGAAAGGAGGAACUGAGCUGUGGCCUAGGGUUUUUGUGUCCUGGAUCAAUAUGUACUGCUUGUGGGCAGGACUCUGUAGUGUGUCACCACUGUGUCAUUUGCACCGUCUUAUGUGUCUCAGUUUCUCUCUCCAGCUGGCACAAUCUCAGCUCACUGCACCCUCCACCUCCCGGGUUCAAGUGAUUCUCCUGCCUCGGCCUCCUGAGUAGCUGGGAUUACAGGCACCCACCACCAUGUCCGAAUUUUGUAUUUGUAGUAGAGACAGGGUUUCACCGUGUUGGCCAGGCCAGUCUCAAACUCCUGACUUCAGGUGAUCCUCCUGCUUCAGCCUCCCAGAGUUCUGGGAUUACAGGCAUGAGCCAGUGUGCCUGGUGGUGAUUUUUAGUUAUAUGUGCUGCCAAAGCAGGCAACUGUCCACUAUUUUUUAAAUGAGUUUUUUCUGGGGAUUUCCCUGGAAGGCCAUUGCAUAUCGUGGGCGUUCAACCCCCAGACACUCCCAUGAGGGCCCCAGUCUUCCAGGGGCACCUUUUGGCCCGGAAGAGCACAUGUCAUUUUUCUUCAGAGCUGAGAAAACUCUCUUAUUAACAUGUGAAAACAAUAGUUCAGUUCCUCACGAACGUGUGCAGACAAACCGAAUUAGGAUUAAUUUUAGGAGAAGACCCUUUAGAAUGCAUCUUCGAACUCAAACUAGGAUCCUUAAACAACUUCCUAGGAGAGACAAGGGGAAAAUAAAACAGUUAAGACCACUUCCUGAAACUGUACUCAGCCGCCCAGAACUUUGUAGCUCUCGUCCAGCAUUAUACAGGCCAAGGUCAGAGCCUCUCAGUGCAAAGUCGCCCCUGUACCCCAAAGCCAGGAAGGUUAAGUCAUGCAAUAUGGGAAGACAGAGCUGUAGACCUAAAAAAAUCUGCCCAUGACUUUUGAAACUCCACAAAGAAAACAGCACACCCCCAAAGGGGGUGAGUGGCACCUUUCUUCUGAAUUCUUUAAAUGGGUUCAAGUCAUUAGAAGCCUCUAGAUGUUUUUGAUACUGCAGACGGCAAAGGGGGAAGGAGGUGUAGGGUGUAAGGAAAGUAAAUGAAAGAAUAACGUUUUCUAAGACAGGAAGUAAGCACAUAAACCAAAUAUAUGUUUGUUUUCUCCUUUUUCUUUUGCAGCUGUGAGGAGUUUUAGCCAAAAUAGGGAGGCCUUGUUACCCAUCAUUUGGAAUACUUACUCUGAUUUCACCAAGUCAGGUAGAGUUGGUCAGAUCCAAUGGGAGAGCCCCAACAGUAUAAUCACUGAGCACUCUGUUGGUAAGGAGAAAUUAAGACCAGCUGGUUGUUAAUCUUAACUUUAGCCAAGACAAACCCCACUUCAGUUGUUUACCUAGAGAUGGGUUUCAGGGUGGAGACUGCUGUCAAGCAUCCUAGACGCAGGGGGAAAACCUCAUCUUCCCUAUUGGAAGCGAGCUCAAACUCCAUAAAGGAGCUGCUUGCUCUCCAGCAUCAUAGAAGCAGGAAAACCUUGCCUUCCUUUUGUUGGAAACAAGUAAAAUAAAAAAAAAAAAAAGGAUUUUACAGCAAAAUAAACUUUAGAUCUCGAUCAAAUUUUGAGAGAUCAGGGAUUCUCUGGAGGGGGUGCUCUCAGACCUCAGCAAAUGGUCCUAUUCGUUUGAGCCAUAAAGUUAGCUUGUGCUGGUACCAAACAGUGGUAGGAGAUUUGUCAAAGGUCAGGGGCACCUCCACUCAGAAUCCCUUCUUGGUUACUAACUGUGAAUGCAGAAAAUUUGAGACUGGUCUCAGUUCAUUUAGAAAGUUUACUUUGCCGUCCAGGCCUGGUGGCUCACAUCUGUAAUCCCAUCACUUUGGGAGGCCAAGGUGGAUGGAUCAUCUGAGGUCAGGAGUUCAAGACCAGCCUUGCCAACAUGGUGAAACCCCAUCUCUACUAAAAUACAAAAAUUGGCUGGGUGCGGUGGCAAAUGUUUGUCAUCUCAGCUACUCAGGAGGCUGAGACAUGAAAAUCACUUGCACCAGGAGGCGUUGAAGUGAGCUGAGUUGGUGCUACUGCACUCCAGCCUGGGCGACAGAGUGAGACUCUGUCUCAAAAAAAAAAAAAAGUUUAUUUUGCCAAGGUUGGUCCUGAUGACAUAUGCCUAAGGUGGUCAGAUCAUAGCUUAGUUUUAUACAUUUUAGGAGACAUGAAGCAUCAGUCAAUAUAUGUAAAACCAACAUUGGUUUGGUCCAGAAAGGCAGGACAACUGGAAGCAGGGAGGGGCUUCCAGGUCACAGGUAGGUGGGAGACAAAGGACUGCGUUCUUUUGAGUUUCUUGAUAGGCCUUUCUAAAGGAGGCAGUCAGAUCCGCAUUUAUCUCAGUGAGCAGAGGGAUGACUGAAUAGAUUGGGAGGCAGGUUUGCCCUGAGUGAUUCCCAGCUUGAAUUUUCCUUCUCUGUUAGUGAUUUUGGGGCCCAAGGUAUUUUCCUUUCAGAGCCUGAAUAACAAAAGUGUUGUCAGCUUCUUGACUUACUAAAGAUAAGAAUGUGUAGGGGUUUUCCUAAAUGUUUUGAUGCAUGCAUGUCUGUUUUUCUGAUUAAGAUGGAGUACUGGGAAAUUUGGAAGUGGAGUUUAGACACAGAUCAGCUGCAGUCAUCUGCAGGUCCCCUCCUGAAACACAACUCUCAGGCCGUACUGUAACAGUGUGUAUAACUGUCUUUAACUGUCUCUCAGGGCUUCUGUGAAAAAUAGAGGAAAUAAUUAUUAGAUAAAUGUAUUUAAUGUUUUCAAGUGGCAUAAAAUGCAAGGGCUUAUUAUUUGAUAGUAACUCUGAAAGGUAAAUUAUCCAGUGAUGGAAAUGGGUUUAUAAUGUCGGGAACAAUCCACACCGAGACAGUGGAUGACUCGGCAAGGCUAGUUUACUUCCUGCAGGAGGGGUGCAACUCGCCAGCAGUCUUGCCAUGAGAGCACACCUGAACAAGGAGACGGGGACAUUUAUAACUUUCAUAACCUGAUGCAAUUGCCCUACUGCUGUGUCCAGUUUCCGUUGGCCAGAACAGGAUGCCCAGUUCUGUUUAGACAUGCUGGAGCAAGCCAAGGUAGCUGAUUUAAGGCUGAUUUAGAGAAUACAUAUACAUGAGUAUAUGUUUAUGCUAAUAGUGGAUAAUGGUCAUAGAGCAAGAGAUCAUAAUUCCUUACAAGGUAGUCUAAGAUAUAAACUUGGAAGAAGAACUUCACUGUCUCUUACAGUUCCCUCCUCUUUUUAUUUCAUAAUUCUUCAAAUGUAUUGAAUAGGUCCUUGCUUCAUUGUUCAACUUGGUCUUCCAACAGAAGUAAUUUCUCUGGAUAGGAUGGAGGAGGAGCUGGAGGUAGGUUAGUGAGGGUAGUAUUAACAAGCCUUUGCAUGAGUCCUUGAACACAGAGUAUGACACAACGUUCUACAAGAAGUGUACGUAAUACCGCUACCAGGGAAGUGCAGACUGAUGCCACACUGUCCUUCCAUUUGCCGAAUUCUUUCUCUAGCCAGUUUGAAAUGCGGUUAUUUAUUCCUGAAUUUUUAGCUAGUUCAUUCGAUAGGGUCAUAGGUUCCUGUAAGGCUCUCGUGAUAUGUCCAUCUGGAGCUGUGUUAUUUGGAUUGAAAGUACAGCAUUGGGUCUUAAUCAUUAUGCAAACACCACCCUUUUCAGCUAACAUCAUGUGAAAAGCAGUCCUGUUUUCCCCUGCCGUUUGGCUGGUAGACUGUAGUGUUCGCGCCAAGGGCUCGAGACAGCUAGUGGACUCGCCCCAGUUUGGCUGCUGGACCUGUCUGCAUUUCCCCACCUCGAGGGCUGUCGAGUGAGACAAAGGGCCGCGAGCUGAGUCACUAAAAGCAACAACAGAAUGCAAAGCAAAGGCCUGCAGUUUAUGAGGACAUUCUUACCAGCUAUUUGCAUCCUUACGUCUUGUUCCAAUAGCUGUGGUUUACCUUAGGUCCUCUGAGGCCUAAGGUUCUACCUUUGAGACUUUGGUUUUGUCAUUGUGUCUAGGAGAAGUGAUUGAUAAGAGGUUGAAGGAGCAGUAAAUCCAUUUCGAAAAUUUCCUUUGGAUCCUGUCCUGAAAUGUCACCUCCUAUACCACAAAUAUGGCUUCAUGAAGGGGAAGAGUUUUCAGAUGUUGCAGUAACAAUAGUAAGCUGUAUAGGAUGACAUUGGUUAUCUGACAGCUAGAAGGAGCAAUUCCUUCGUGUGGAUAGAUGGUUUUAAGGACUGGCGAAGACCUGUGGAAGCAGGCUAUCCUAAACCUUUAGUGCCCCAUAUGACAUUAGACCACGCAGAACAUAGAGAUUCUGUUUUAUAGGGGUAAGAGUCUGACUCCUACCAAUUAAUACACUUACUAUUCCUUGGAUUACUAGCAUCCUUAGAGGAACUCAUGACGUGACUUCCUCAUCUGGGGAAGUCUGAGAGGGACAGAGACAUCCUUCUGAAGCAGCAAGCUGUCCCUGGUUAUGCACAUCUCCACAAGGCAUAACUAAACAGACAUCAGAGCAGCAACCUGAGAUCUGCAGGCUGUACAGGAUGUGGGGUGCCUGCUUCUGGUGAGAGCCUCAGGAAGCUUACAAUCAUUUCUGAAAGCACAGUGCAAGCAGGUGCAUCACAUGACAAGAGAGGGGGAGUGCCAUGCCACACCCCUCCCCUUACCUCUCCUCCCCUCCCUUUCCACUUUUGCAACAAAGUGAGACACCUGUUGGGGUCGGGCACGUCUGCUGGGGGACUACCGACCUGCAGGAGUCCCCAAGACCGCCAAUGUAGAUGUCUUGUUCAACCUGAGGGAGAGUGCGCGGAAGUGAAAGAAAAUAGUUAAGCGGAGUCUGGAGGUCUGCGUAACCUAUGGUCAAAAUGCAGCAAGUUUAUUCUUGUGGGUUACAGCUUUUAUGCCUUUUUUCUUGUUACAUUUACUUUAUCUCAGCAGAAAAGGGGUAAACAGAAAGGAAAUAGAAACUCCAUAAAAAUAGUUAUCAGGGGCUUGUGAUAAGCUCACAAAGCAGUUUAAGGGGGCUUGUGAUAAUAGUUUACAAAGCAGUUUAUGUUUUUCAAAGAUACACAGUGCAAGCAAACAAUGGUGCCCUUAAGGUGGCUUGUUAAUCCUGUUUUCCAUCAGGAGGUAGAACAAAAAGGCUUAGCUCCAGGGAAAAUAUGGGCAGGGGUCUCUUGUCCUUCUUAGGCAUUUCAAUUGCAGCAAGUUUAUUGCUUACACAGAGACUGAUGGGGACAUGAAAGCAGACAGCACAAUGUCCUCAUAAACUGCAGACCUUUGCUUUGCAUUCUGUUUUUGCUUCAGUGACUCAGCCCGCGACCUUUGUCUCAGCUCGACAGCCCUCGAGAUGAGGGAGUGCAGAUAAGUCCAGCAGCCAAGAUGGGGCGAAUCACACAGCUGUCUCAAGCCCUUGGCGCAAACACCGCACAGACACCCCCACCCCAGGUCCCAUCUCUACAAAAAAAAAAAAAAAAAAAAUCUAAAAAUUAACCAGGUGUGUUGGUAUGUGCCUGUGGUCCCAGCUGCACAGGAGGCUGAGGUGAGAGGAACUCUUGUGCCCGGGAGGUCAAGGCUGCAGUGAGCUAUGAUCAUGCCACUGCAGUCCAGUUGUGCAACAGAGUGAGACCCUGUCUCAAAGUGUGUGGGGGGAAGUAAUCUGAAUGUCCAACCAUGGAAGAAUUAGUAAAAGAAAUCACGGUAACUCCAUGUGGAGCCCUGUGUUACUGUAAGUCACAUCUCAAAAAUGAUUUACUAACAGGAGCGUGUCAUUAAAUGAUGUGCACAACCAUAAAAAGUUAGAAAUUUCAAUCAUAUUUAUGUUUAAAAACAUCUACAGGCCGGGCGCGGUGGCUCAAGCCUGUAAUCCCAGCACUUUGGGAGGCCAAGGCGGGUGGAUCACGAGGUCAACAGAUCGAGACCAUCCUGGUCAACAUGGUGAAACCCCGUCUCUACUAAAAAUACAGAAAAUUAGCUGGGCACGGUGGUGCGUGCCUGUAAUCCCAGCUACUCAGGAGGCUGAGGCAGGAGAAUUGCCUGAACCCAGAAGGCGGAGGCUGCGGUGAGCCGAGGACGCGCCAUUGCACUCCAGCCUGGGUAACAAGAGCGAAACUCUGUCUCAAAAAAAAAAAAAAAAAAUCUACAUAGCACUUUGUUUCUCUGAACUCAUCUUUUUAUGUCGAGAUACAAUGAAAGUCAAAAUACGACAGUCUGCAAUUUUGCCAUGUGAAUUGGUGUUAAAAUCUGAUAGGUAAAAACUAUAGAGACAGACUGUAUUAGGUAAAUGGCACAAAAGACAUAAAUAGGCUAUUCACAGAAAAAUAAAUGGCAAUAAACAUUAAAGGAUGCUUAAAAGCACUUUGAGUCUGGCUAAUGCAAGUUAAAACCAUGAGAUACUAUGUUUUGCUUGUCAGAGUGUAAAAAUUAAGGUAAUAUGCAUAUUGAUGAGCAAUGAGGGAACAACAUAUUCAUUACUGUUGGAAAAUAAUCUGGCAGAUCUGUGCAGUGGCUCACACCUGUAAUCCCAGUACUUUGGGAGGCAGAGGUGGGCAGAUCACCGGAAAUCAGGAGCUCAAGAUCAGCCUGGCCAGCAUAGUGAAAUCCCAUCUCUACUAAAAAUGCAAAAAUUAGCCAGGCAUGGUGGUGGUGGCGCCUGUAGUCCCAGCUGUCGGGAGACUGAGGCAAGAGAAUCAUUUGAGCCCAGGAGGCAGAGGCUGCAGUGAGCCAAGACUGCACCACUGCACUCCAGCCUUGGGCAACAAGGAGACGCUGUAUCAAAAAACAACAACAAAAAACUUUAAAAUAUAUACUCUUAUACCCAGCUAUCUAGUUUUGUCAAUUGAUCAUCUACAAAUAAAAACAUCUUUGUGAUGGUGAAAAAGAAAAAAAUCCGGAAAUAACACAUAUUUCAAGAAAUAGUUUGAUAAAUUCUAAUAUAUGGGGAAUACCACACAGCUAUUGAAAGAGAUCUAUAUACAUUGGGUUGGAGGCUGGGCAUCAUGGCACGCCUUGUCUUUUUGGGUUAUUUAAGCCCAGGAGUUUGAGUUCAGCCUGGCAAAUUACAGAGACUGCCAUUUCUAAAAAAAUUAAAAGUAAAUGAAUUGAGCUAGAGAAAUGACUGAUACAUUGGGGAAAAAAAUGAGAAUGCCAAGUAAUGUGUAUAAUAUGAUUGCAUUUUUGUAAUUGAAUAAAAGGCAAGAAAAACACCCCUUAAAAAAAUUGUAUACCUGUGUAUAUCUGAGUAAGCCUGGGAUGGCGUGGGAUGAUAUUCAGCACUGAAGGAGAAGUAGGUAGGAAAUUGUACUUCCAUACUCCUUUAUAUAUGUAAAUCGAAUGUUCUUAUUUUUAUAAUUAACAGUAAGAUGACUCAGAGAUAGGAUUUAAGGAAUCAGCAUACAGUUAGUGAAAUAAUGAACUGAAGUAAGUGUUCAUAUUGUAGAGGAAAUGAAUGUGGCAUAAACUCACAGCAAAGAGAACUAUUUUAUAAAAUUAAUUUAUAAUUUCAGCAGUGGUGAAUGGAUCACCAAUUUCAAGAGAAAGGAUGAAUAUGUUUUCUCUGCCAUGGAAGAUAGUCAAGAUUUAGUUCUAUGUAGAUCCUCUGAGCUACUGAUUGAUUAAGAAUGGAACACUAGGCCGGGCGCGCUGGCUCACACCUAUAAUCCAGGCACUUUGGGAGGCCGAGGCGGGUGGAUCACGAGGUCAAGAGAUCGAGACCAUCCUGGUCAACGAGGUGAAACCCCGUCUCUACUAAAAAUACAAAAAUUAGCUGGGCAUGGUGGUGCGCACCUGUAGUCCCAGCUACUCGGGAGGCUGAGGCAGGAGAAUUGCCUGAACCCAGGAGGUGGAGGUUGCGGUGAGCCGAGAUCGCGCCACUGCACUCCAGCCUGGGUAACAACAGCAAAACUCCGUCUCAAAAAAAAAGAAUGGAACACUAAACAAAAACUGUAGUUUUUACUUGGCCAUCAUAGAGUUCCAGAACUUCGUAGCGUACUGUUCCUCAGUGAACAGAGACGAUUUACGUUUCUUUGCACCUGUUUGUUUUAUAUGGAGAACGGGCUGUUCCUCUGGCCUUGGGUCGCCAUAUUUGCGUUCCUUCGGGGCAUCAUCCCCUCCUGGGAACUACUCAUGUACUAGAUUCCAAACUGAAGCUCAAUUGCAGAAAUUCUACACAAUUUGUGCUUUCCCUCUUUAAAGGAGAACUGUGUGAACAAACAUUUCCCAAAUCCUCAAUCUAUGGAAGACAGGAUAAGAAAGGCUCUCUCCUUCCCAGUCUGCCCCGUUUUUCCUGUAUAUGAGAGAAGCCUUGCCAAUGAGAUCCAUGUGAUAGAGGCCUUCAGAGCACUCACCUUUACAGGCAUUUUGGAAUGAUUCAACAAAAUCUGUCACUUAGCAGCCUUGGGGAAAAAAGUACUGAUUUCUUUUUAAUCACUAAACUUUGUUUUAGUGGUACGGUAAUUAUUUUUAUUCUUUUGUAGCCUAUUCCUCACCACCACCACUAUUUCAAUGAACAAAAGCAGUGUUACUUAAACUUAGCUAACUGACCUUCAGGGACUCUAUCAUUGAAUUCCUCUUUGGUCUUUGCCAGGGCUUUAUUUUGCUUCCCAUGGCAUUAGUUUGCCAACUCUGGUUAUUUUGGGCUUUCUCUGAUAACCCUUGCUGUUCUGUACACUCCCUGAGGUCUAGGACAGCAUCUUACCUACCUUUGGAUCCUCUACCCUUGCUCCAUUUGCUUGCCAUUUUCACUUAUCCUUCAAAGUCCUUUUUGGGUGACACCUGCCAUGUCUGAGGAGCCUUCCCUGGCAGCCCCGACUUUCUUCCUCUGAUCCACUUCUAUGCCUUCACUAAUGUUUGUCAUGUCCUAUCUGCUGAUUUGUCUGUCUUUAGGAAUGUAUGUUAGCUACUAAAACAUUCCUAUUCUAGGUACUGGAGAUGUAUCAGUGAGUACAACUGACAAAAACCCUGCACACAAAGGAAAUUCUAUUUUAGUGGAGCAAAUCAAACACUAAACAAAAUAGGAAAGAAAAUAAAUACAUAGUAUGUUAGAUGGCGAUAAUUGCUAUAAAGGAAAAUGAAGAUGGAAGACAGAGUAUUGGUGCAGGAGAACUUAAAAUCACCCCCCACUCCACCCCAAGAUGUGUAUACCUAUGAGUUCUUUUUAUAAGAAGUUCAGUUUUAAAUGUCAUCUGGAAAGAUGUCACUGAAACAGUGACGUUUUAAUAAAGACCUGAGAAAGUCAUGGAUAUCGAAGGGGAAGAGUGUUCCAGAAAGGGGAACAUAAGUGUAAGCGCCUUACACAUUCCGCUGCUGUGCUUCUCAGUGUCUGGGGGCUCCGUUAGAGAGGGUUUAAGCCGAAGAGUGACAUAAUUUGACUUCUAGAGCUGCUCUUUGACUUAUGAUGGGGUCACAUUGGGAUAAGCCAAUCAUAAAUUGAGAUUUUUUUUUUUUUUUUUUUUUUUGAGACGGAGUUUCGCUCUUGUUACCCAGGCUGGAGUGCAAUGGCGCGAUCUCGGCUCACCGCAACCUCUGCCUCCUGGGUUCAGGCAAUUCUCCUGCCUCAGCCUCCUGAGUAGCUGGGAUUACAGGCACGCGCCACCAUGCCCAGCUAAUUUUUUGUAUUUUUAGUAGAGACGGGGUUUCACCUUGUUGACCAGGAUGGUCUCGAUCUCUCGACCUCGUGAUCCACCCGCCUCGGCCUCCCAAAGUGCUGGGAUUACAGGCGUGAGCCACCGCACCAGGCCAAAUUGAGAUAUUUUCAACUUAACAAUAGGUUUAUCCCUCAGGAUCCUGGCACUGGAACAUAUCUGGACAGUUCUGUGUUGUUAGGCCAUGGCAGGAAAAUUUUUGACCCUUUGACAUCAUAAAAGCUUCCAUACUCAUCUUGACUAAGACACCUAAGCAAUCAGGACCUAGAUGUUUGUAGCAGUCUAGCUAUGGGAGGGCAGGCUGUUCUGCAUAAUUGUCAUAUCCGAGACAUCCUAGUUAAACUUAGACUAGCUGUUUCUCAUCUGUAAAAUGGAGACAACAGUAUUCCUUUCAAACAUUGGCAGCGCUGAGACAGCACAUGCCAAAUUGCUCAGCAUGGUCUCUAACAUGGAGUUAGCUAUGUUGAUGUAGCUUAAUAAACAAGUGUGCACCCUACAGCCCAUCUUUACCAAGGCCAAGAUGUUUUUUCACGAGGUUCUCUCCCUGCUCCCCUUCUUCAUCAGAAACAAGUUCUGCAUUGGCCUCUUCCCAAACAAGACUACUCAUUAGCUCUGAGAGGGUGGAGAGAACUAUUUUCAUCAUUUUCUUCUGCUGGUUUAAUUCUCUUAUUUGACUUGUGGAGACAAGAAUUGAGAACAUACAAAGGCAUUUAUCUUCCUUUAUCAGGCUGCCCAGUACAGAAUUCUCUCUAUUCCAAUGUAAAUUUUUAAACAAUUUUCUUACUAUGUCCUUUGGCCUUUCAAAUUGGAAGGAAAAAAAAAUCCAAACCAAUAUUCUGUACUAGAAAAAUCUAACAGUGACAUUCGUCUUACCUUCUGUCAUCUCAGCCAAAGUUAGGUAAUAAAAUGGAACUUUAAGAACUAAGCUUUACUGAACAAACUUCCUGAAAAUCCACUAAAACUGAGGCGCAGUGGCUCAUGCCUGUAAUCCCAGCAUUUUGGGAGUUCAAGACCUACCCGGCCAACUUGGCAAAACUCCAUCUCUACUAAAACUACAAAAAUUUAGCUGGGUGCAGUGGUACACAGCUACUCCAGAGGCUGAGGCAGAAAAAUUACUUGAACCUGGGAGACAGAGGUGAGCUGAGAUCAUGCCACUGCACUCCAGCCUGGGUGACAGAGCAAGACUCUGCCUCAAAAAAUACAUAUAUACAAUAAAACUACCUUUGAUGUCUACAGGGUGCUCAUAUUUAGUUCUAUUUCUUAAACUGCCUGGGUUUUUUCCUUAUCUUCACCUGGCUAACUCCUGCCUCUUCUUCAAGACUCGGAUGUCAUUCUCCAGGUAGCCUUUCCUAAUGUCUUUUCCCAGGAAACAUACACUUUUUUAAAAUUAGAUAUCUUUACUCCAGAAAACCUGCAUUUAUUCUGUCUACAGAAAUGUCUUCUACUGCAAUUUCUGUACUUGUCUCUUC